AAACUUAAAGGAAUUGACGGGGCCCGCACAAGCGGUGGAGCAUGUGGUUAAUUCGAAGCAACGCGAAGAACCUUACCAGGUCUUGACAUCCCGAUGCUAUUUCUAGAGAUAGAAAGUUACUUCGGUACAUCGGUGACAGGUGGUGCAUGGUUGUCGUCAGCUCGUGUCGUGAGAUGUUGGGUUAAGUCCCGCAACGAGCGCAACCCUCGACCUUAGUUGCCAGCAUUCAGUUGGGCACUCUAAGGUGACUGCCGGCUAAAAGUCGGAGGAAGGUGGGGAUGACGUCAAAUCAUCAUGCCCCUUAUGACCUGGGCUACACACGUGCUACAAUGGGCGGUACAAAGGGUCGCGAACCCGCGAGGGGGAGCCAAUCCCAAAAAGCCGCUCUCAGUUCGGAUUGCAGGCUGCAACUCGCCUGCAUGAAGCCGGAAUCGCUAGUAAUCGCGGAUCAGCAUGCCGCGGUGAAUACGUUCCCGGGCCUU
rnacentral:rRNA from 1 species